AUCGGUGUGGACAAUUCCAUGUUUAUAUCACAUGACAUUUCCGCGGGAAAUUCUUCUAUUGAGACCGUACGAAUGGAUGUGAAUUUGGAUUAAUGCAUAUAUAUUGUGAAAUAAAAUUGUUGAUGAUCACAUUUUCUACAACACAGUUAGAUGUCAGGUUUGUACACAUUUAGUCUCAACUCUAGUCUAUAUUCGGGGGGGGGCUGGGGCCCGGCCCCCCCUUUCGUGGGAAAAAUUGUUGAUUAUAUAGGGAAUCAUUGAAGCAUGACUGGAACGGGCCCCCUCUUAGGUCAGUCAGCGGCCCCCCCCCCUUUAGGAAAAGUUCUGGAUCCGCCACUGUAUAUUCUAAACUGAGCCAGUGAACUUACUGGUGAAGGGAUACAUGUGCUGCAUAAUCCCAUCACAUUUCAGACAUUUCAACCAACAAAAAACUAUUGAAUAUUUUAUCAACUGACAUAUCUAUUUUUAUUUUAUCUAAUGUCAGUCAUACCAACUGACAAACUCAGCGGAAACCGUGUAUUCAAUAACAAUUUUAUUUGUGUAUUUUAGGGGUUGUUUACAUUUUGAGUUGUAUGAUAAACGUAUAUAUAUAUGUUUGUAUGUGUUUCUUAAUGAAAACAGCUCAAUUUUAUGAUACUUUAUUAUACAGAAUCAUGCCACACAGUUUGUUUACACUUGAGUGUGUCUAAAUGACCCACAUUACAGUCAUGAAAAUGGUAUAUCCCAAUUUAUUUAUUCAAUAAAUUUGGUACAAAUUUCCAUUGUCUGUGUUUUUCUAUAGAGUAAAUGAUGACUUGCAUUAAUCCAUCAAUCACUCUAUUGGCACACACAUGCUAAUGUAGGGAAACAGAAUCUGCUGAGGUUUGCCAAUUGCUGUUUCCUAAAAAUCUAUCACAACUUUCGAUUUCUUCGUUUAUUUCUGUAAUCACGAAAACAACCGAAGAUGACAAUAUUGUAGGGCGCCAUGUGCUGGUGUGUAAAUAAUGUGCUAUGUUUCAUGCUAAUUAACAAGUCUUUAAAUUGCGCCCGGCCUUCGCAGAUGAAUUGUUUGAAGUCAGGUUGUACUAGUUCCUGUCAAUAUAAUACUUCCAUGGUUAUAUAUAUAUAUAUAUAUAUACACAUUAAUGGAUCUACAAUCUGUCGAUACCUGUAUCUUGGCAUUGCACAAGGUCAUGUUUUUUUCUCUUGACUGUUAAUGACGUCUUUACACUAAUGGAUGUGUGCAGAUUGAUAAUUUAGUCUUAGCCGAAGGGACAAGUGAGCUUAUGCCAUCACUUGG
rnacentral:lncRNA from 1 species